rnacentral:lncRNA from 1 species
UAAUCUGAAUCACCUCAGUGCUCAAAUCCUUCUCUGGUGGGUUUAUUUUAUAUCUCCCGAGUUGUCUUAGAACCCGAUAAGGAGCGUAAGGCUGGAUGCUAUUCAGCCCCAUCAGAAGAAAAUGUGACCCGACAGCUGACAUGUAUAUGAUUUCUCCCACGGGCAACCAUCCCAAAUUCCACUGUAUCUGAUUGGCCUUGAGCGUCCGGAAGUACGAUACCCAUGCCUUUACACCUUCAGGCAAACUAACCCCAUCAGUUAUGGUGUAAAACUCUCCAAUACAAGUUUUAUCGGGCGAACCAUAACUCAAAAACUGGGAACGGUGACACAUAUGCUUGAUCAUCCACAUUUGUAGCAAAAUAUUACACCCCUCAAAAGAUGUGCCCCCGGCUUUACAGGUAAACAUAUGCUUGAUCAUCUACACCUGUAACAACAUAUUACACCCCUCAAAAUACGUGCCCCCGGCUUUACAGGCAGUAAGAGCUCGGAAUAGGUCGGACACGAUCAUAGGUGCAAGAGUACUUCCAUCUUGGCUAAGCAAAGUAUCCCGGCCAACUUUAUAUCAAUAUUAUCAUCCUUUAUUGGGAAU